rnacentral:rRNA from 1 species
UACGUAGGGUGCAAGCGUUGUCCGGAAUUAUUGGGCGUAAAGAGCUCGUAGGCGGUCUGUCGCGUCGGAUGUGAAAACCCAGGGCUCAACCCUGGGCCUGCAUUCGAUACGGGCAGACUAGAGUUCGGUAGGGGAGACUGGAAUUCCUGGUGUAGCGGUGAAAUGCGCAGAUAUCGGGAGGAACCCCGGUGGGGAAGGCGGUUCUCUGGGCCUGACCUGACGCUGAGGAGCGAAAGCGUGGGGAGCGAACAGG